CCCUGGCUCAGGAUGAACGCUGGCGGCGUGCCUAAUACAUGCAAGUCGAGCGAAUGGAUUAAGAGCUUGCUCUUAUGAAGUUAGCGGCGGACGGGUGAGUAACACGUGGGUAACCUACCCAUAAGACUGGGAUAACUCCGGGAAACCGGGGCUAAUACCGGAUAAUAUUUUGAACUGCAUAGUUCGAAAUUGAAAGGCGGCUUCGGCUGUCACUUAUGGAUGGACCCGCGUCGCAUUAGCUAGUUGGUGAGGUAACGGCUCACCAAGGCGACGAUGCGUAGCCGACCUGAGAGGGUGAUCGGCCACACUGGGACUGAGACACGGCCCAGACUCCUACGGGAGGCAGCAGUAGGGAAUCUUCCGCAAUGGACGAAAGUCUGACGGAGCAACGCCGCGUGAGUGAUGAAGGCUUUCGGGUCGUAAAACUCUGUUGUUAGGGAAGAACAAGUGCUAGUUGAAUAAGCUGGCACCUUGACGGUACCUAACCAGAAAGCCACGGCUAACU
rnacentral:rRNA from 3 species